GGAAGAAACCAAGAGCCGCACAGGUAUGCUGUAACUUGUUUAUUGAUAUUGGAUGAUUGUAUAUCAUAAUAGUAACUUUUGUAUAUAUAUGGUACCUAAAUUGCUCUAUUCUGGAAGAAGCAUCAUGCAUUCAGGAACUUGAUCAGUGAAAACCACUGUAAUUCAUUUUGGGAUAAAAUGAAAAGAUUUUAGCAUAGUAUAUCCAUUCCUAUGCUUAGUGGGCUGCACUUGUUCCUUUUCUCUAGUCAUUUAUUCAAAUAUGUAAUUGGCUUGAAUUACCUUCUUUUUGUGCUUUACAUAUUCAGAAAAAGAACAACUUUGAUUUUGGUGGUUUGAUGAUUGAUGGACUUUUUUCAGAUCGGAAGCCACCUGGGGUGGGUCGUGGAAGAGGAAGAGGUAGAGAGGAUGGCGGGAGGCCAGUGAAAGGCAUUGGGCGUGGCCUUGAUGAUGCUAAGGCUGCUGGUGGAGGCCGUGGCAGAGGUGGCUUAGGUGGAAAGACAGGUGGAAACAGAGGUUAGUUUACAAAUUGUGUGAAAAAAGGUUUGAUGAAGUAGAUUAUUUGCCAUGAUGUAUUCUAUGGUUACUUGUUUUAUUGCAAAUUAAUGUUACUUUGUUAUAGAAAAUAAGAUGAUUUAAUGAAAUGUUACAAUUCAUCUCAUGAGAUUUUUUGUAAAUUGAUACAUUUUUCCAUAUAAUAAUUAAUUACGAAAAAUUUGUUAACUUAAUGACAAAAAGUAAAAUUUAU
rnacentral:misc_RNA from 1 species